ACUAAUAACGUUCACCGAAGACCCUCCCAUGACCAACUUAAUAGACAUCGGUCUAUCACUAACUCUCUUUACCUCUACCACCUGCUCCCUAAGAUCUUCAUCUACUAAGAUACCUACCUCAUUUCUAUGUCUUACGCUACCCGAGUACCAUAACUCAUAUCUAUCCACAUCUCUCGCUUUAGUGUCUACCUAUUUAGUUUUCUGGACACACGCUACAAUAACCCUCCUCUUUCUAAGAAUCUUCACCAGCUCUAUAGACUUACCCUGCAAAGUACCGAUGUUCCAAGACCUAACUCGCAACCUAGAAGCUCCCUUAUCCCGCCCAACCUUACUACCCCUAGCCCUUAACCCCAAACUCGAUCCUAGACCUGAC
rnacentral:lncRNA from 1 species